GAUGAACGCUGGCGGUGUGCCUAAUACAUGCAAGUCGAGCGAACAGACGAGGAGCUUACUCCUCUGACGUUAGCGGCGGACGGGUGAGUAACACGUGGAUAACCUACCUAUAAGACUGGGAUAACUUCGGGAAACCGGAGCUAAUACCGGAUAACAUGUUGAACCGCAUGGUUCAACAGUGAAAGACGGUCUUGCUGUCACUUAUAGAUGGAUCCGCGUCGCAUUAGCUAGUUGGUAAGGUAACGGCUUACCAAGGCAACGAUGCGUAGCCGACCUGAGAGGGUGAUAGGCCACACUGGAAGUGAGACACGGUCCAGACUCCUACGGGAGGCAGCAGUAGGGAAUCUUCCGCAAUGGGCGAAAGCCUGACGGAGCAACGCCGCGUGAGUGAAGAAGGUCUUCGGAUCGUAAAACUCUGUUAUUAGGGAAGAACAAAUGUGUAAGUAACUAUGCACGGCUUGACGGUACCUAAUCAGAAAGCCACGGCUAACUACGUG
rnacentral:rRNA from 1 species